AUUGAACGCUGGCGGCAGGCCUAACCCAUGCAAGUCGAACGAGUGGCGGACGGGUGAGUAAUGUCUGGGAAACUGCCCGAUGGAGGGGGAUAACUACUGGAAACGGUAGCUAAUACCGCAUACCAUCGGAUGUGCCCAGAUGGGAUUAGCUAGUAGGUGGGGUAACGGCGCACCUAGGCGACGAUCCCUAGCUGGUCUGAGAGGAUGACGAGCCACACUGGAACGGAGACACGGCCCAGACGCCUACGGGAGGCAGCAGUGGGGAAUAUUGCACAAUGGGCGCAAGCCUGAUGCAGCCAUGCCGCGUGUAUGAAGAAGGCCUUCGGGUUGUAAAGUACUUUCAGUCGGGAGGCGUUACCGACAGAAGAAGCACCGGCUAACUCCGUGCCAGCAGCCGCGGUAAUUC
rnacentral:rRNA from 1 species